ACUCCAUAAAGCUCUGUGGAAGCAGACUGGGACACUUCACUGAGUUUAGAUUUGACUCCAUCCCUGAGAUGCAACAUAGUUUUGGAAAUCCUGCUAAGCUCCACAUUUCCUGAAGACAAUACUUCCCCAUAAUACUGGAGAAGAACACUGUCACUUAUUGGCAGAGAAUUGCAGCCUCUGAAAUUCACUGUGGAUUCAAAUUUUUCCUGUGUCCUCCAAGA
rnacentral:lncRNA from 1 species